rnacentral:sRNA from 1 species
GCCAGGCGCAGUGGCACACGCCUGUAAUCCCAGCGACUUGGGAGGCUAGGGCAGGAGGAUUGCAAGUUCAAAGCCAGCCUCAGCAAUGGCAAGGCACGGAGCAACUUAGGGAGACCCUGUCUUUA